rnacentral:rRNA from 1 species
UACGGAGGGUGCGAGCGUUGUCCGGAAUCACUGGGCGUAAAGGGCGCGUAGGCGGCUUCUCAAGCGUGUGGUGAAAGUCCGGGGCUCAACCCCGGAUCGGCCGUGCGGACUGGGGAGCUCGAGUUCUGUAGAGGCGGGUGGAAUUCCGGGUGUAGCGGUGGAAUGCGUAGAGAUCCGGAAGAACACCGGUGGCGAAGGCGGCGACCUGGUCCGAUACUGACGCUGAGACGCGAAAGCGUGGGGAGCAAACAGG